rnacentral:rRNA from 1 species
UACGAAGGGUGCAAGCGUUAAUCGGAAUUACUGGGCGUAAAGCGCGCGUAGGUAGUUCAGUAAGUUGGAAGUGAAAUCCCCGGGCUCAACCUGGGAACUGCUUUCAAAACUGCUGAGCUAGAGUACGGUAGAGGGUGGUGGAAUUUCCUGUGUAGCGGUGAAAUGCGUAGAUAUAGGAAGGAACACCAGUGGCGAAGGCGACCACCUGGACUGAUACUGACACUGAGGUGCGAAAGCGUGGGGAGCAAACAGG